rnacentral:lncRNA from 1 species
CAUAGCCACAAUCUUCAAUAAUAAAUUGACCCAAGCCCAAAAUCCAAAACUCAUUAACCAUUAUUGUAUUUAGCCACUCAAUUACAAUCAGAAACCAACAAUAUUGUCAACGUUUUACCCAAACCCCAAUGUGAGAAUGAACCCUCAAUUCAAAUUAAUUUUCAACUCCACUUAACCUAAUGAAAAUGGUAUUUAUAUACUAACGAUAUUACCAUCCAAUUUAUUUGAAAUUCAGCUACUGACUACUAAACAAGAUGAAUUCAUGUAGAUGUUCAAGCUCCAACUAUUAUAUCCUAAUGAAGAAUUUCAUAAUGAAUUAUGCAAAUUAACGAGCAACCUAUCAUUAAUACCUUGCUGGAAUACAAAACAAGCAUCAUCGAAUCUGAAUCACGCCAUAGUCCCAUUUUUGAUCAUAUUCAACACUAAAUGAUUAACCAAAUCAUACCCAGAAUACUUCACACAUACCACACUUAAAACUAAAAACAUACAACUCAAUUCCCAGUUCAAUAACCCAUUGCAAUUCUGAAUGAAUCAAACAUCCACGGUGAAUUAAGCUAUUCUAAUUACAGUAGUGCAACGAACAAGUUAGGAAAACAGUCAAUCUCAUUCCAGCUGCCAUUUCAAUUUGUUUUUCAACUUUACAUCUCAAUGAAUUAGGAAAUGUGCCUGGAAAUUGACACAAAUAGAAGAAGAGAAGAUCAGUCUCAGCACAAUUGCAGCAACAAACAAUACCCAACAGUUAUCGAAUGACCAACAACCAAGGAAUAGGUUCGAAAUCCAAAAAAGUUCAAAAUACAACAAGAACUAGCAGAUUAAACCAAACCAAACUUGAGAUGCACUCAAUUGUAUUCAGAAAAGCAUCAGCAUAUUUCCAGACCCAUAACUUAACAAAAUCCAACCCAAAUAGAUCCAAAAACUGCUCGAAAUUGAUCCAGUGACCACUUGAAGCUUCAACCACCAAAUAAUGACUAAAAAUUUUGGAAUUCAUGAUGGAAACUGAAAUCAGCCUAAGAUAUCUCACUGAAACAGUACAUUUCUCAUAUUCUUUGAAGGAUUUUAUGUGUUUUUUUCCUGUUUUUGGAUUUUAACUUUCUUUUUAAAAUGAAAAACUGAAUAUGGACAAAAGAAACCAGAUAAAAUGCUAAUUGGGAGGAAUUUUUGACUAAAAGGAGCCCAGCUUUAAGGAAUUUUCAGAUCUGAAUUUCAGAUCUGGAAGCUUUCGAAAUUACUUUAGGGGAUAUUAUUAGGCUACCAAACUUGUCAAUUCAGGCACUAAAAGGUACCUUAUAUAGGCAAAAAUAAGGGGCACCCCUCAGAUUUUCAGUUUUGCAUUAUACCAUUUCCUAAUUUUCGUUUUUGCUUAAGUACCCCUAAAGAACUUUCUUGUUUCCCAAGUUAUACCACCAAACUUUAUAUAAUUCUGAAGUGAACCCUAUCUAGAAUGUCCUAGGAGAUUCCAUUCAGAUUUUAAAAGAUUCCGUAUCCUUGUAUUAUCUAUCUUGCCCCUAAAUUUAAGCUAAAUAACAGCUAUAGCCAAACAAUUCCCUAAGCUUUACAAAGUGCAAUCCUAAUUUAAGUAACCAAUCUAAUCACUGAACCAAACUAACAACAACAAUCGAUAAAACUAACCACCAGCUAAACUAACCAAUACUGAUAAUCAAAUGCCAUUCAAACAAAUGUUAGCUAACAAAAAUCAUAAUUGAAUCCUAAUACUGCAAGUCAUGGUUUAACAGAAAGGGUCGAAGUGAAUUCAAACUACUAGCGGAACGAAUAACAACUUAACAACUAAUAACUAUAAACUAAGACGAAUAGGUAAAUAAUGAUCAAAAUGUCAUAGAUACGGAGUGAAAUUGAAACGGGAUUGAAGACAACUUAAUGGCUUUCGGAUUAACACUUUUAAACAACAAAAUAGCACUCAGAUAACACCAAAGGAGGAAGAGAAGGAAAAAUGAAACAAGGGAACUCACUGCUUUAAAAUGACCCAGAACUUGAGCGGACUUAGUGAUAUUUGAACUUCGCCAAGGGUAGAGAAAGAAAAACGGAAUAGGGGAACUCACUGCUUUAAAAAAAUGGCUCAGAACUAGAGCGGACUUGGUGAUAUUUGAACUUCGCCAAGGGUCGAUUCUUCACAAGGAUCGUAGGGCGACUGUGUAGUAUCAAUUUGGUAGUCUUCAGAGACAUAAGGAUUUUCGGCCAACUUUGAACCAAUAUUCAAGCCAAUCGACUGAUAUUUGAGGGUAAAUGGCUAUGGAUUUCGGUUGAGGGAAGUUAGGAGAGUCAAUGGAGUAAAUUUAGAGCGAUUUGGAAUAUUUGACGUCGUGGCCUUCAAAUGGAUAUUUGACGGCCUGGGGGAAGAUUCGAGAAAUGAUGGUGUGGGGGUUGGAAAGAGGAGAAGAAAGGGUAUCAAUGGCGUGGAUUUGGUAGCCAACGGCAUAGGUUGUGCUUCCCCCCGGCAAGGGCUCUGGCGGUGUCACUCGUUCAAUAUGAGGAAGAUCAGAGGGUAUGAUAAAACGUAUGUUUGUCUCUAGGGUUUAGACUUAUAUUCAGACAUUUUUAUCAG